UGAACUGGGUCCCACCCAAAAUAGCCUUCAUUUUGCUGUGGACUAAGGAAACAGACCUUCAAGUGAGUAAAGAGUGCUUGCAAGCGAAACUUUACUCAUCAUAAAUGCAUGAAUGGUUGCUUUAUCUUAAUUUUCAUAGCCAAUCAUUGAUAUACAACUUGAAUAAAAGAAAAGAAGCAGAAGCAGAAAAGAAGAAGAAAGAUUAUUCCAGGCAUUCCAUAAUGAAGUAUACACCUAUAAAUAAGCUGCAGCAGAUGGAUCUACACAUACUAUUUCUACAGCUCAUGCUAAUUAUUUCUAGAAUCAAAGAGCAUAAAUUAUUAGAAUUUUAUAGGUUCUGAUAACCAAAAAUAAACAUCACAGUAAGUUGUAGCAGACAGGUGUAAGAAAACCACUUCUCUCUGAAUGGUCCUUCACCCUUCAACUUGAAGGCUUUGGAGAAAAGCCCAAAGUGAACAAGCGACAAGGAGGAAGAUGCAUACCUCUUAAUCAUAAAGGCAAAACUACAAAUAACAAUACAAUUUAUUACCAGACUGAGA
rnacentral:misc_RNA from 1 species